AGAUAUUAUUAUAAGUAUACCCUGCCCAAUGAAUUCUUAAAUGGCCGCGGUAUCCUAACCGUGCAAAGGUAGCAUAAUAACUUGUCUAUUAAUUGUAGGCUAGAAUGAAGGGGUAAACGAAAUAAAUACUGUCUCUUAUAUACAAAUAUAAACUAUCCUUCAAGUGAAGAGACUUGAAUAAAAUUAAAAGACAAGAAGACCCUAUAGAGCUUUAUUCUAAAUAUAAACUUAUUAUAUUAAAAUUUGGUUGGGGCGACCUAGGAACACUUAACAUCCUAAUAAUGUACUUAAGACCUAUCAGUCUUCUAUAGAUCCAUUUAAUGAUCAAUAAAUUAAGUUACCUUAGGGAUAACAGGCUAAUAUUUUUCUAGAGUCCUUAUCAAGCAAAAAUGUUUGGCACCUCGAUGUUGGCUUAGGGAUCCUUUAUGGUGCAGAAGUCAUAUAAGGAGGUUUGUUCAACCUAU
rnacentral:rRNA from 1 species